UUGAUUAAUAAUAAAAAUCUUCAAUUUCUUCUAUUUUCAGUAAUAGGAAAAUUUCCCAUUCACCAUGCACCAAAGUAGAAGAUGACUUUAAAAAACCCCCAAAGAGUUUCAGCUCUAGCUUCAUAGUGCAUUUUCAUUUAGAUUUGUAGAGUUGUGUAAUAUCUGGCUUAUUUGAUGUCAGAAGAUAUUCUGUGAAGAAUCAGCUAUCUAUGAUGUUGAUAAAAUGCAGUGUUGAAGAAAACCAGCAUGAAAUGUCAGCAGGGGCCCUGAGUUUGCAGACAAGGAGUGAUACUGGUGGCUGCAGGGCAAUCAAUAAUUCACCAGGUCAAAGGAAGGCACCCUUGGGAGCUUUGUAACACUGAUUUCACAUGUAAAACACAUCUCUGAUAGUAAAUUUAGAAAUAGUGUUAACUUGCACACCAAGGAAGGCAGCCCAAAGUACACUCUGUAGGCAACAUAAAAGUGCCCCCAGACACGUCCUACAGUGAGGAGAAUCCUUUCAGCAAAGGACAUAGGAUGCUGAGUAACCACCCACAGACUGAAGUCUUUCACCUGAGUGGGAUGAGCAUGACACCAAAGAAAAGAAGAUUCAUUAGAAAGUGUCUCUUUUUAACUUUACAUAAUUUGAACUCAAAGUGUUAAUGUCACUGUGACCAAACUAAGAAUUUUUUUAUUAGACGUAAUCAAAGGUAAGGUAUUAAUUCUACUAACAAUAAAUUACUGGGCUUGCAGUGGUAUAAAAUCUUUUUAUUUACAAAACUUUGAGUAUAAAAUGUUGGUGAGAUUUUUUUUUUU